CACUACCCAAAACUUCAAGAUCUAACAGGGGGAUGGCUGCUUUAUAAACAUUAAGAGGUUCUGGACGGAGAAAACUUUCACUUAUACCUCCAGAGACUGAGGGUUACCAUGGAAACCUUUUGAAAACUGUGACAGUAGGAGGAAAAAACAUGAUCUACAUAUUUCCACUUCAGGAGAAAACUGAUAUGUCUCCUCUUCCUCUGGAUGCUCUAGAACUUCAAAGCAUGCCUAAAGCAUCAUGGGAAGUUUGCAGUGUUACCUUGCAGUUUAUUCUCAUCAUGAAAGCAGUGCUAAUGAAGGUACUCCAGUGGCAUCAACAUCAAGUACAAAUGAUGCCAGUUUCCCUGGAACACAUCUGUUUUUAAUUUGAGGCAGCUUGUCCAGUAUGUGAAGAGGAAUAUCUGCUGGAUAUUUUACAGAUCCAUGCCAGCUGUUGUGGAGACAGUCUUGAGGAGACCUCACCCAGACCAGAACAGGUUUCCAAAUCACUUGGAGGUUCACUGAAAAAGUCACUGACACAUGUUAAUAUAUCAUUUAUAGCUGACACAUUUCACACAUAGGUGAUCAUGUUAAUUAUUAUUUAUUAUUUUAUUAUUUACUUUAAAAUAAAUAUAUAUAAUUUUCUGUAUUUAAAUCACACACAAUAUAAUUUAUCCAGAUGCAUUUAAACUAAGUAUAUUCUAUUUAUGUGAAAUAUGGUGGACCAGUGAAUGUGGAAAAGUAAUAAAGUUAAGAAAUAAAGCAUUUAAAGCACUUAAAAGAAAUCCAAUGUUUCAGAACUUAAUUGAAUAUAAAAAAAAAACAAGCAAUGGUGAGGAAAAUUGUUAAGAAUGCAAAAAGAGAAUAUUGGAGGAACUUUUUAUUACAGUCGAGAGAGAAACAAAAAUUUAUAAAAUAUGGAAAAUAAUUAAAAGAAUGAAUGGUAUUAAGAAAGAAUAUGAAUAUCCAAUAUUAGAAGUAGAUAACACAACUAGAAGAAAAAGCUGAAAUACUAGCUAAAACAUUUGGUAAAAUUCAUAGUUCAAGUAACAUUAUUG